GAUGAACGCUGGCGGCGUGCCUAAUACAUGCAAGUCGAGCGAACGGACGAGAAGCUUGCUUCUCUGAUGUUAGCGGCGGACGGGUGAGUAACACGUGGAUAACCUACCUAUAAGACUGGGAUAACUUCGGGAAACCGGAGCUAAUACCGGAUAAUAUUUUGAACCGCAUGGUUCAAAAGUGAAAGACGGUCUUGCUGUCACUUAUAGAUGGAUCCGCGCUGCAUUAGCUAGUUGGUAAGGUAACGGCUUACCAAGGCAACGAAGCAUAGCCGACCUGAGAGGGUGAUCGGCCACACUGGAACUGAGACACGGUCCAGACUCCUACGGGAGGCAGCAGUAGGGAAUCUUCCGCAAAGGGCGAAAGCCUGACGGAGCAACGCCGCGUGAGUGAUGAAGGUCUUCGGAUCGUAAAACUCUGUUAUUAGGGAAGAACAUAUGUGUAAGUAACUGUGCACAUCUUGACGGUACCUAAUCAGAAAGCCACGGCUAACUACGUG
rnacentral:rRNA from 1 species